rnacentral:rRNA from 1 species
CCUACGGGUGGCAGCAGUCGAGAAUCAUUCACAAUGGGGGAAACCCUGAUGGUGCGACGCCGCGUGGGGGAAUGAAGGUCUUCGGAUUGUAAACCCUUGUCAUGUGGGAGCAAAAUAAAAAGAUAGUACCACAAGAGGAAGCGACGGCUAACUCUGUGCCAGCAGCCGCGGUAAUACGGAGGUCUGAGGCGUUGUUCGGAAUCACUGGGCGUAAAGCGUGCGUAGGCAGUUUCGUAAGUCGUGUGUGAAAGGCGCGGGCUCAAGCCGCGGACGGCACAUGAUACUGCGAGACUGGAGUAAUGGAGGGGUAACCGGAAUUCUCGGUGUAGCAGUGAAAUGCGUAGAUAUCAAGAGGAACACUCGUGGCGAAGGCGGGUUACUGGACAUUAACUGACGCUGAGGCACGAAAGCCAGGGGAGCGAAAGGGAUUAGAUACCCUUGUAGUC